rnacentral:lncRNA from 1 species
GGCCCAAGACACCAUGACGUUUUUAUUGCAUGAUCGUGCAAAAAAAUGGCAUCGCCUUGCGCAUAGGUUGGAAAAGGGAAGUAGCAGAGUUUGAAUAAUUUAAUCGGACCAAUUCUUGUUGUAAUGCAUCAAUCCAAAAAUUGGCUCAGCCAAUCAGUUUGCUCAUUCCCCUGCCUGUAAGCAUAACUUGAAUGUUCUGAUCCUCGAAGCUUUUCUAGAGAUAUGCCCCC